CCUUGUGUUCUUUCUUCAAUUUAAUUUACGGGCCAAGAGAAGACUAUUUGAAGAUCAAGAAGCAGGGUUGGGAUGACAUGGAUCUCUUUUGAUGUUGGGCUUUAAACAAAAAAAAAUCUUAUUAGGAAGAACUGCUAGAUUUCUGUCCCAAAAAAAAAACAUGUUGCCCUUGGAUUCUUUAAAGUUGACAUGAUGAAUGUCAUGAAGCUGGAUUUUUAGUUUACUGUGUUCUAGAAAAUAAUAUUUGUCUCCUGUUUGUGAAUCAUAUUGUUCAAAGUUCAUGCACAUUGCGUAGCAUUGCCUGGUUGGCAUAAUUUUUG